AUAUUCCAUCCAACUAUUUUUCAAUUUACCUUCUUCCUCCAAUUUUUCAAUUUAGGGUUUCUACUGAAUCCCCAAAACAUCAAACCCUAAAAAUCCAUACAAUUUCAAAGCAAAAUCAAUCCAGAUAUGAAGGGGCACAAUCCGAUUGAGGUGGCGAAGACGGUAUUGGAGGUAGCCGACGUGGCAUGGUCAGCAGUGGAACACUGUCACCACCAUACCCAUAAUCGCUCCGAAACGACGCCGUAUGAUGUGUCUGAACAAGAUGACGAAUUAAAAUCGUUGAGGUCUGAAAACGAGCGGCUGAAACGGUUGCUUCAACAAAAUCUUGUGCUUCUUCAGAGCAUGUCACAAUCUCCUUUAUUACUUCAAGAUUGCCCCCCUGAUCUUCAUGAUCGUCUGUUAGCUGCUGUGGAGUCAGGAAGCUUUUUGAAACAGCUGGAAUCACUCAAUCGAAAUUCCGUUGAUGGGGAUGGCUGUCAAUUUCCUUUCAAGGAGCCUACUGGUUCUGACGUGGAGACUGCAGAACUUCUGGUAAACAUGAGCCUUGAAGGCCCAAGUUGGUGGGUUUGGGUGACUGAGGAAAUGGUCCCCAGCAAUUUUGAAGAAAGAAGUGGAAUAGAUAAUGAAAAUUACGUGAUUGUUAGUGAGGAAUAUGUUGUAGAUGCAGUUGCCAACUUUAUGGCUAAAUGCAUAGUAUCCAAUUCGAAGGCUCAGAAGAUGUCUCCUGAAGAACUGCAAAAGACCUUGACAAAAGCAUUAGAAGGCACAGGUAAAGUAGAAAAAUUGUUCAACAUUUGGCAUGCAGCACAAACGUUCUACGUCCUUUCCACCUGGGGACUUGCUCUAGUGGGGUGAGUACUCAUUUAUUAUUUUUUGCUUCCCUGUGUUUCUAAUCUUACAUACUACAACAAAAAACCCUAAAUGAGUUGGGGCGGACUCACUGACCAUGUUUUCCAUUCUAGUUCUUCAUAUUUCUGGUCUUGCAUGUUUUAGAAAUUUUUGUAUUUGGACUGGAACAUCGUCGACUUCCACAUAACUUCAAUUGAAAUAUGUGAAUGUGAUCUGUGAAAUUUCUUGGAUAUUUUAGGUCCUUGUGUAAAAAUACAGAACUUUUGGUUGAAUUUUGUAAUCUGUUAUUUAGCUUUCACCCCGGAAACAGCCUCUCUUCCCCCUCUGGGGUAGGGGUAAGGUCUGCGUACACUCUACCCUCCCCAGACCCCACUGGUGGGAUUUUACUGGCUUGUUGUUGUUGUUAUUUAGCUUUCACAGUUGAGGCUUCAAAUUCUAGACCAAUUUGUAAACAUGAUCAGACUAUAUCUUUUGAGAGAUAAUUUAGUGCAGAUUUUGUUCUUUUGAUCUCCGUACAUCCAAUGCAUCUGACUUUGCCAUACAUGAACUAUACUUUGAAGGGAUUGACAUUUUUGUUAGGACAUAAAAGGUGCAGUGAGUAAACCUGUUGUUU